AAAGAAGUUUACAUUCAUAACUCAUCUAACCAUUAUAGAUCAGUAAUGUCGUCAUAAUUUAAAUGAACUCACAGAUAGCAAUGGGGCACUGCACCGAAGCAGUAUUACAAAAUAUGUGAAAUAAAACUGUAAUACAAAUUGCUCUAUAAAAUUUAAUAGAAAUAAAUUUAUUUAUGAAAAUUAAGUUAUGAAGUUUUAUUUUUCCUAGGAAAAAAAUAACAUUUAUAUUUUGAUCAAUUUAGAACAUUACAGUUAAAAAAAUAUGUGUUAGAAUAACAUAUUUUUAAUAAAAUUGCAGCUUUUAAUUUUUAUACUUUUUUGCUUUUAUAUCAAUAAGAACUAACGUAAGGAACAAUUCAUAUUUAUACUAUGAAAACACAUGCAUAUUUUUUGAUGUUUUUAAAACCAGUGAAUGAUGUUGAAAUAUACUACACCUAUUAUUCUUAUUAACUAACUUUAAUUACAAACUUACACAUUAUUGUCAUUGGAAAUAAAUUAAUUUGGAUAUUCUA
rnacentral:lncRNA from 1 species